rnacentral:rRNA from 1 species
UACGUAGGUGGCAAGCGUUGUCCGGAAUUAUUGGGCGUAAAGCGCGCGCAGGCGGUCCUUUAAGUCUGAUGUGAAAGCCCACGGCUCAACCGUGGAGGGUCAUUGGAAACUGGGGGACUUGAGUGCAGAAGAGGAGAGUGGAAUUCCACGUGUAGCGGUGAAAUGCGUAGAGAUGUGGAGGAACACCAGUGGCGAAGGCGACUCUCUGGUCUGUAACCGACGCUGAGGCGCGAAAGCGUGGGGAGCAAACAGG